rnacentral:rRNA from 1 species
AAACUGGAGAGUUUGAUCCUGGCUCAGAACGAACGCUGGCGGCGUGGAUUAGGCAUGCAAGUCGAACGAUCCCUUUCGUCAAGAGGGGGAUAGUGGCGAACGGGUGAGUAACACGUGGGUAAUCUGCCUUUAGGUUCGGGAUAACCCGUCGAAAGAUGGACUAAUACCGGAUGAGACCACGGUCCCCGAUGGGACUGGGGUUAAAGAUGGGGAUCCUGAAAAUGGACCUGUUGCCUUUAGAUGAGCCCGCGAACUAUCAGCUUGUUGGUAGGGUAACGGCCUACCAAGGCUAUGACGGUUAGCUGGUCUGAGAGGAUGGUCAGCCACACUGGGACUGAGACACUGCCCAGACUCCUACGGGAGGCUGCAGUCGAGAAUCUUUUGCAAUGCUCGAAAGGGUGACAAUGCGACGCCGCGUGAGCGAUGAAGGCCUUCGGGUUGUAAAGCUCUGUCAGCUGGGAUGAAUGUAAGGCGGUCAAUAACCGUCUUGCUUGACAGUACCAGCAAAGGAAGCCACGGCUAACUCCGUGCCAGCAGCCGCGGUAAUACGGAGGUGGCAAGCGUUGUUCGGAUUUACUGGGUGUAAAGGACAUGUAGGCGUCUUAUUAAGUCGGAUGUGAAAUCCCUUGGCUCAACCAAGGAACUGCAUCCGAUACUGAUAAGAUUGAGUACGGGAGAGGUAAGCGGAAUUCCGGAAGUAAGGGUGAAAUCUGUAGAUAUCCGGAGGAACACCAUUAGCGAAGGCGGCUUACUGGUCCGAUACUGACGCUGAAAUGUGAAAGCUAGGGGAGCAAACAGGAUUAGAUACCCUGGUAGUCCUAGCUGUAAACGAUGGGCACUAGGUGCUGGCCCGAUAGGGGCAGUGUCGUAGCUAACGCGUUAAGUGCCCCACCUGGGGACUACGGUCGCAAGGCUAAAACUCAAAGGAAUUGACGGGGACCCGCACAAGCGGUGGAGCAUGUGGUUUAAUUCGAUGCUACGCGAGGAACCUUACCUGGGCUUGACAUGUUGGAAGUAGGAACCCGAAAGGGGGACGACCUGUUUUAGUCAGGAACCUUCACAGGUGCUGCAUGGCUGUCGUCAGCUCGUGUCGUGAGAUGUUGGGUUAAGUCCCGCAGCGAGCGCAACCAUCGUCCUAUGUUGCCACCUUCAGGGCUUGCCUUGAAGGGCACUCUUAGGAGACUGCAGUUUUUAACUGGAGGAAGGAGGAGAUGACGUCAAGUCAGUAUGGCCCUUACGCCCAGGGCGACACACGUGCUACAAUGGUCGGUACAAAGGGUUGCGAUACCGCGAGGUGGAGCCAAUCUCAAAAAGCCGGCCUCAGUUCGGAUCGGAGGCUGCAAUUCGCCUCCGUGAAGCUGGAAUCGCUAGUAACCGCAGAUCAGCCAUGCUGCGGUGAAUACGUUCCCGGGUCUUGUACACACCGCCUGUCAAGUCACCUGAGUUGAGUGCACCCGAAGCCGUUAGCUUAACCCUUAACGGGAGAGCGAUGUCGAAGGUGUGCUUGGCAAGGAGGACUAAGUCAUAACAAGGUAGUUGUACCGGAAGGUGCAUCUGGAUCACCUCCUUU